AGGAAGAAUACGGGUCAUAGAGAAGGGUGGAGAGAACCAAACAAACAAGAACGACGACUCUCCAAGAUUCUUUUUCUUUUGAUCUUUUCUAGUUCUAGAUUUUUAGUUUGAUCCCACUCGCUUUGCGACAAACCCUAGCAGUUGUCUGCAGUUGAAGGGGUCUCCUUCUCUCUCUUUCCUCUUCUUCUUGUCCCUUCUUCGGGCUCCAAUCUCGAAUGGAUCGGUACCAGAGGGUGCAGAAGCCGAAGGAGGCAACCUCUGUCAAUGAGAAUGAGAUUCGUAUUACGGCUCAGGGUAGGAUGCGCAGCUACAUCACUUACGCCACCAGCCUGCUUCAGGUAUCAACCUCCUUGCCCAAGCAUCAGGUGAAACCACUUUCUGAAUUUGAUUAUGGUGGAGGUACAUUUCUUCAUUUUAUCUGUUUAGCUGCUUUAUAUGCUUAUCUUUGUUGACAAUUUAUUUGC